GAGGGUAUAGUUUAAGUGGCAGAGCACAUGCCUAGCAUGCCUGAGGUCCUGGGUUCAAUUCCCAGUACCUCUA
rnacentral:tRNA from 1 species